UACGUAGGGCGCAAGCGUUAUCCGGAAUUAUUGGGCGUAAAGAGCUCGUAGGCGGUUUGUCGCGUCUGCCGUGAAAGUCCGGGGCUCAACUCCGGAUCUGCGGUGGGUACGGGCAGACUAGAGUGAUGUAGGGGAGACUGGAAUUCCUGGUGUAGCGGUGGAAUGCGCAGAUAUCAGGAGGAACACCGAUGGCGAAGGCAGGUCUCUGGGCCGCAACUGACGCUGAGGAGCGAAAGCAUGGGGAGCGAACAGG
rnacentral:rRNA from 1 species